rnacentral:tRNA from 1 species
GGUCUUAUGGUGUAGUGGUUAUCACGUCUGCUUUACACGCAGAAGAUCGCCGGUUCGAACCCGGCUAGGACCU